UACGGAGGGUGCGAGCGUUGUCCGGAAUCACUGGGCGUAAAGGGCGCGUAGGUGGCGACGCAAGUCAACGGUGAAAGCUCGACGCUCAACGUCGAGUCGGCCGUGCGAACUGGGCUCACUGGAGCAUAGUAGAGGCAGGUGGAAUUCCGGGUGUAGCGGUGGAAUGCGUAGAGAUCCGGAAGAACACCGGUGGCGAAGGCGGCCUGCUGGGCUAUGGCUGACACUGAGGCGCGACAGCGUGGGGAGCAAACAGG
rnacentral:rRNA from 1 species